CAGAGUUGUUGACCAAGUUUGCAUAUGGAGGAGUGGUUCUCCAGCCUGGGUUUAUUUAUGGAACUCGCAAUGUUGGAAGUGUGAAGUUACCUCUUGGUGUAAUGGGUUCUCCGUUGGAGAUGGUUCUCCAACAUGCAAAACCACUUAAACAGCUUCCCCUCGUUGGACCCUUGUUCACCCCCCCUGUCAAUGUUACUGUCGUGGUGAAAGUUGUAGUAAGGGCGGCAACUGAUCCAGUUUUCCCUCCAGGCAUCGUGGAUGUUUAUGGAAUACUUCGUUAUAGCCAGCAGCAAAGAGCAAUAUAGAUUUGUUGACAGCAAUUUCUACUUCUUUUUUUUUCCUUCUUGCUAUAGCAAUUUCUAACCUUCAUUUAUAGUUGCUAGUUCAAGGUUUUUUCCCAUAAGUUUAUGGCACUUCUGUGGUGGAUGGUGAUUAGGGAUCAGCCAUUUUAAGUUUGGUUCUUUUAAUUUCUUUCAAGGAUAGAGACUUUCAGAAUCUCAAGAAAAAACUAAAAUAAUGGCUUA